GCCUCACCACCACAACCACACACACAGCGACCGGCUCACCACGGUCCGUUUUUUAAUUCACCUCACCGCCGUAGCCGCGUGACGAUAUUUUUCAAUGUUUCAAAACAUCGCGAACAUAUUUUUCCAGAACAUUGUAUUUAUUGCUGUUGGGGACCAUUUGGUAAUUUGUAACUAUGCACCGGUGGAACGAACAAAAGUAUGUAUUCGUUACUGAUUUAUAAUCCAAGACCGUGAUUACAGGAAUUCCGCUUAUCAAUAGUCGGUUGUCUAUUUGUUUUCGUAGAUUUCGUGACGGAAUAUUAUUUUUUUACCGUGUGUGUUUGUCUGACUAAAACAAUAAAUUGGCGCUUUCAAACGUUCAUUUUUUAAUAAUACAAAUAACAUUUCAUCAAAUUCGUCACUGCGAAAUCAAAAAGUUAUGUUUCAUUCAAUUGUCUUUUGUGCAGUACUCGGCAAUAUUGCAGUAGACAUUAUUAUGUAUGUAUACCUUUAAAAAAUACGACACGCCGAUACCUAACCACCCAACUGUUCUAUGGAUGAGUGGAUUAACUAACAAAACGUACACCUCAAAACACAACUAUCGGCCCAUAGGAGACCGGAAUACAGGUGUUGAAUACAUUGCAAGACUGAGUGAUCGAGGCUACCCACGUCCAUUGAUCGAGUUCUCUUUUCUAAGUUCCAACUGCAUACAAUACAGAUAACUGUCUACUGAUAAGGCUAACUUUAAUAUCCGACCUUUCAAAUUUGUCUCGGUGGUUGCAUUUUGAUAUUAAUUAUUUUAACUUUAUUUUUGAUAAUAAUAUAUUAUAACACUACGUUUUAAAAAAGGUAUAGUGUGCGGUAAUAGAUCUAAUAACACCCAUGUCAAUCGAGAAGGAGUUAAUUAUCAUGGAAUUCCCAAGAAUGAAUACAUGAGAAAAAGAUGGCUUAACGUUUUAGGAAUUGAUCGGUGUCAUGAAUGGCAACGUAUAUGCAGUGAUCAUUUUUUAGAAGAAAACUUUAAGUCAGGAAAAAAGUAGUUAUGCUACUCAAAGUAAUGAUGUUGAAACUGGUAAUAAUGAAUUUUACCAAUGGAACAAAAUAUAAGGAAUACUGAAGAAUACUAAAGAACAGAUUAAAACCAGUCGCUGUUACAUCAUUAUUUUUGGAUAAUGCACCUAAUGCUUUGCUGCCAGUGUCAAUUAAUGAGGUACCUGUAUUGAGUACAUGUGAAGAUCAAUUCAUAAAUCCAAUUGAUAAUGAAGCUGCUGAACAGUCGUCAGAAGAAAAAAAAACAAUGUUAAAGAUAAUACAGAUAAUACUUCCAUGACAAUUGAUAAUUCAUCUAAUAGUAGUUCUUUGUCCAUUACUUUGGAACCAAUUGAGAAAAGAACCUUACAAUGUAUUAUAAUGGAUGUUUGAAAUACUGAAGAUUUUACAAGGGAUGAUGAACACGGGUUUAUUUUACAAGAAAAUAAAAUAAUGUACUGGGUGCUAUGUAAAAAAUUCCUGGUACAUUGUUUUAUAUUUCUUUAAAAUGCCUAUUACAACAACGAAAGAAUUAGACGAUCUUUUAAAAAAAAGUCAUAGUAUAGAAAAAUGUUGGGGUGAAUUUGUCUUUGAACAAUGUAUAGGGUAUUUUUAAAUUAGUUUAGAAGAUAAUAAUAAUAUGUGUUCUGGCUGUCAAGGUCUAGUAUAGUCAAAGAUCGAGAUUUGCUAAGAAUAAAAGCAAAAAUUGAAGCUAAAAACAAAAAUAUUAAAAGUCUUAAAAACAAAGUAAAUAUAAGACACUUAUUCUUUGAAAAACU